ensembl:lncRNA
AGGAGAAGGAGGAGAAGGAGAGGGAGAAGGAGAAGGAGAAGAAGGAGAAGGAGAAGGAGGAGAAGGAGAGGGAGAAGGAGAAGGAGAAGGAGGAGAAGGAGAGGGAGAAGGAGAGGGAGAGGGAGAAAUGGAUAGACAUGGCAAUAUCAAGAAUGGCUGAAAGUGAGAAGAGAAAAUGGGAGGAGAGGAGGAUAAGGGAGGAAGAAAGACAAACUGAGGUGGAGUGGAAAAGGAUUGAGGCAGAGAGAAGCAAAGUGGAAGAAAUGAAAUUGACAGAGAGAAUUGAGCUGGAGAUCCUGAGGAAGAAAAGGAAGGUGGGAGAGGAAAAGCAGAGAGGGAAGGAAGCCAUCGAGAGGGGAAAGGACGCAAUAAGAAAGAAGGCUCUUGAAAAGGAGAGGGGAAGCAUUGAAAAAGAGAGAGUGAAACUGAUGGAGGAGAAGAGGGCGGUAGAGGAAAUGAAGGCUAGAGUUGACCAAGAUAGACUGGAGAUUGAAGAAAUAAAGCUAAGAGAGACUCAACAAAGAGAGCUAGAAUAUGUGAACAGAAAGAAAGAGUUGGAGGGUGAGAAAAGAAAGGCUGAUGCAAAGAGAGAGAGAAUGAGGGAAGAAAUGGAGAAAGGUCUGAAGGAGGUGGAGGUGCAGAAAGAGAAACUUGAAGAAAACGAGAUGAGGCUCAGGGAGAAGUUAGCAAAGAAGAAAGAGAAGGUUCUCAUGAGAAAGAAAGAGUUGGAGGAUGAAUGUCAAAAAAUUGAAACUGAAAAAAGGAGAGUUGAAGAGGAAUUGAAGGCGGUGCAGGAGAAAGUGAAUCUCCUGAAAGCACAACUGCUGGAGGGCAAAAGAAAGAUGGAGAUGCAGAGAAAUGAGGAGGGAAUGAGCAAGUCAAGGGUGGAGCAAGAGUGGAAGAUGCUUGAGAUGGAGAAAAAGAGAAUGGAGGAGAAAAUGGAGAUGGAGAGGAAAGAGGUGGAGGCUCAGAGACUGCACCUGCAAGAGAAGGAGAGAAAGCUCAAGGAGGACGUGACAAUGAAGAAAGAGAAGAACGCCUCAAAAAAGAAAGAGGUUGAGGAAGGAUGGAAAAAUAUUGAGGCAGAGAGGAAAACUGAAAAUGAGAGGAUGACAUCAAGAAAGAAGGAGGUCGAGGAUGAGUGGAAAAAGAUCGAAACUGAGAGGAGGACAAUGGAGGAGAGGAUAGAGACUGAAGUCAAUAAAGUGGAGAUGCAGAGACAGAGACUGCUGAAGAUGGAGAAAGAGAAUUGGGACAGAAAGGAGCCAAAGCCUGAAGCCUGUAACAAUGAUUCUCCUGGAAAGUGUGAUGAGAGUAGAGACAGACAAGAGACUAAACCAAACAAAAACAUGAAUGUGGAAGAAUGCACUCAGGACAAGACUGUAGGUCAAAAGAAUAACGAUAGGAAAGAAUCAGAGAAAAGAAAAGCACCCAAGAUGCAAGUUGAGG